rnacentral:rRNA from 1 species
GACGAACGCUGGCGGCGUGCUUAACACAUGCAAGUCGAACGGAAAGGCCCGGAGUUUGUGGGGUGCUCGAGUGGCGAACGGGGGAGUGACACGUGAGUAACCUGCCCUUGACUGUGGGAGAACUUCAGGAAACUGGGGCUAAUACCGGAGAGGAGCUCCUGCUGCAUGGUGGGGGUUGGAAAGAGUCGGCGGUGGUGGAUGGACUGGCGGCUUAUCAGCUUGAUGGUGGGGUAGUGGAGUACCAAGGCUUUGACGGGUAGGCGGCCUGAGAGGGUGACCGGCCACAUUGGGACUGCGAUACGGCCCAGACUCCUACGGUAGGCAGUAGUGGGGAAUAUUGCACAAUGGGCGGAAGCCUGAUGCAGCAACGCCGCGUGCGGGAUGACGGCCUUCGGGUUGUAAACCGCUUUCGCCGGUGACGAAGCCUGAGUGACGGUAAUGGGUAAAGAAGCCCCGGCUAACUACGUG